CAAAUCAGUCAAAUCACAGGACGCCAACAAUUCACAAGGGGAAGAAAUCUGUCGCAACCAAGGAAGCAUGUUUGCCUGUGUGCGAUUUCUGCAUUCUUUGUCCUUUCCUUUUUCCUUCCCUUCUCCUUUCCUC
rnacentral:ribozyme from 11 species